GUCAGAAUGAAGUUUCAAUUUAAUUCCAGUUCUUUAAUCGGGAUCCGUGUUUUCUUCUUCUUCAUGGUUAUAACUGGAAUCGAAGUCUGUUGAUUUAAAUGCCAAAUGCAGAGCUUCAGUUAGACCAUAAGAUAGGAAGUUCAAUUGAAAAGGGAAGAACCAAGAUAGCUGGUCCAAUCAAAUGGCAUAGUUCCAUUGAAUCUUGCGCCUGGCAUCAAGUCUUGACCAAAAAAUAUCUGUUACACAAAUCUGAGCGGCAUCGACCGCAGAGUCCACUUAGGAAAGAAAAGAAGCCGAAAUCAUCUGACCCAACAUCAACAGCCACAGCCACCACCGUCUAAUAAAAAGAACCUGCAGGAAUCCGCCAUGGACCAGACAGAGCUUAGCAGAGGAACUGACCUUUCUGUACGCUUUGAUGCCGGGAAAAAUUCACAGCUGAGAAAUGUGAGUGUCUGCGUGAAUCACAACCAACUAGUUGUCAUAAGAUUGACGAAAAAACGGUUUGGAUUCUUCACAACAUCAAAAGAAUAUGAAGUAGUGGAUCCCCCUAUCAAAGAGGAGGAGGAACGCUUGUACUUGAGGUGAAGACUAAGUUUGGUGGCACUGCCAGCAUUCUUUUCAGGGAUAAGAAACAAAGGGACAUUUGGGAAUCUACAAUAGUAAUCUCCUUAAUAACCAAAAAAUGUGAUCAGAAUAGUGUGCCAGUCACAUGGUUUCCUUUGCUGAAUUUCGAAACCUUUGUUUGGAUAUCACAUGCGCACAAUCGUCAAAAAAUGCUCUCUGACUGAAGAUGUACGGGGUAGCGUACUGUUUGUGGCCUAAAGUCCUCAGUUUCUACUGUUUCUGAUAAACGGAUGUUAGGUCUGCUCUUGCUGUGAUUAGUUGAAUUCGAUUAUAUAUUGGUUGCCA